UGGGGAAUUUUGGACAAUGGGGGCAACCCUGAUCCAGCAAUGCCGCGUGUAGGAUGACGGUCCUAUGGAUUGUAAACUGCUUUUGUACAGGAAGAAACAGUUCUACGUGUAGAACCUUGACGGUACUGUAAGAAUAAGGAUCGGCUAACUCCGUGCCAGCAGCCGCGGUAAUACGGAGGAUCCAAGCGUUAUCCGGAAUCAUUGGGUUUAAAGGGUCCGUAGGCGGUUAGAUAAGUCAGUGGUGAAAGCCCAUCGCUCAACGGUGGAACGGCCAUUGAUACUGUCUGACUUGAAUUAUUAGGAAGUAACUAGAAUAUGUAGUGUAGCGGUGAAAUGCUUAGAGAUUACAUGGAAUACCAAUUGCGAAGGCAGGUUACUACUAAUGGAUUGACGCUGAUGGACGAAAGCGUGGGUAGCGAACAGGAUUAGAUACCCUUGUAGUCCCUGAGCGGGCUGGCAAGGCGCAU
rnacentral:rRNA from 1 species